UACGUAGGGACCGAGCGUUGUCCGGAUUCAUUGGGCGUAAAGGGCUCGUAGGCGGCUGCUCAAGUCGAAUGUGAAAACUCGAGGCUCAACCUCGAGCCUGCAUUCGAUACUGGGCGGCUAGAGUCUGGUAGGGGGAUCUGGAAUUCCUGGUGUAGCGGUGGAAUGCGCAGAUAUCAGGAAGAACACCCGUGGCGAAGGCGGUUCUCUGGGACGGUACUGACGCUGAGAGACGAAAGCUAGGGGAGCGAAUGGG
rnacentral:rRNA from 1 species